CGCUCGUUGGAAGUUUUAGUGAAACAAUAUUUAUGAAGACAUCCUAACAUCCUAUGCUGGUGUAGCUGCGGAUCGGAUCUUCCGCAGUUCAGUUGAUGACCAACUG